CAUAGUUCCCAAUAUAUGGCAGUAGUUACCAAACCGAACGUAAUUAUUCCAAUUUUCUACAAUUCACUGUACGUUCCCAUUACUAAUCUACGGGCAACCUUCUAAUCCAUAAAUUUGCAUGCGUACUAUUUAUUCACGCAUUUCAUUCACCAGAACAUUCUCAAUGAUUCAUUCAUCCGUUCUGUUCGUUACAUACGCGUUCAUACGCAACUAUGAUUAUGAGCCGACGAUAAUAUACCAAAGAGUCAACCACAAUUGUAACAGUAUACCAUGUUACGUCAUCAAACUGUAUAUUAUGGUAAUACAUAAAAAAUAUAAUUACAGUAUAAAUCCAAUAUACAAAGUAAAAUACCUACGCAAUAACCUGUUAUAAAACACUAGUCCGGGUUAAGGAAACUACAUAACGUAUUCAUUGUACGUAAUAGAGGUUACAGCCUUUACAUACGCGUAUCCAUUUGGAUAUGUGUUUACACAUAUGACAAGCUUAGAAAGACGAAUGCGAUCAUGCAAGAGACUACCGUUAAGCUGUUACGUGUAUACUCUUACUGUGAAAAGCAUCACGACAUUCGACGAAAUGACGAUAACUCACUCAAGAGUUCUACGCAUGAGAUAUAUGGUGUAUAUGCACGCGAGAUACAAUUCCUUUAUCGCUAUCUUAUUCUGACAAUUCGUAUAAUCUUGAGAAACGAUCAACGUCUCUGACGUGAGAGAAAUCAUGGACAAGGUCUCAGCCGACCGUUCAAGGUCGAAAGUGCUUAUGCUUGGGAAUACAUAUCGCUGUCCAAAUACAAGUGAGGAUUGUUACUUAUCGUCACCAUAUUUUUCCGUUAUCAAUCUUAUUCGAUUGUUAUUACCGAUUAUCGAUUGUACUACAGUCUAUGUUAUCAUGCUCGCGUGGAUUCGUGAUAGCUACUCAAAUAAAUCGUUUAAAGUGAACUACCAUAAAAAAUUGAAUCAUAUCGAUUGUAAUCUUUUUCUUUCCAGAACGACUCAUCGAUAAAUCCAAAAAGUGGCUGCUACAAAUUUUCUAAUAAAUUCUAGAAGCAUAAGAUAACAGGACGAUACACGGUAGACUUUCGUAACAUGUGGCUACUGAAGCGAAGGCGUUCCUUCGAAGGACGUAGAAAAGAAUGUAGUCCCAAUCGAAGUAUUCCAAGACUAGGAAGACCAGCAAGUUAUAAAAGGUGGACUAGACCGUUUAUCAGGAAUAUAAAAAGCUGAGUGUGUACCGUACGACACGAUGGUAAGAUUCUCAUGAGGUAAAACGACUACUUUUUUCAGUGGCACAAGACAGGAAAGUGCAAGGAGAGAGUAGAGAGCGCAAAGAAGCCAGACCGGAUACGAAAAGUAGCAGUAACGUAAUUUCUUGCUGAAAACCAGAAAAGUCGGAUCACGAUGGUCAUUAUCAUUUCGUUACGACGAGGCACGUGAAAUGCGUAUAUAGCUGCUGCAUCUAUGUAUAUAUAUAUAUAUAUAUAUACCCAUAGAGAAGAUCAUGGACCAAGUGUGUAGUGUCGUAAAAGUCGAGUCUUUCUUUCAUCGCUGUAAGGCGAUCGACCUCGUGUUAAUCCAUUUACUUUCUACAGGUCGAAGGGUCUUCCAGACCCCGAUCUACGUCCUUAAGGAGCCGAUUUUAAUCGGCCUACCUACCAGUAGUAAGGAUCACCACCCAGACUACACUCGGAACGUAUUAACUUGGCAUAUUAUAUUUUUUAAAUCGA